GUUUUACACUUGAUCUCUGGACUUUAGGUAAGUUCAUGUGUUGAUAAGUUCAUUCACUAAUACU